rnacentral:rRNA from 2 species
UGGGGAAUAUUGGGCAAUGGGCGAAAGCCUGACCCAGCGACGCCGCGUGAAGGAAGAAGGCCUUCGGGUUGUAAACUUCUUUUAUUAGGGACGAUAGUGACGGUACCUAAUGAAUAAGCCACGGCUAACUACGUGCCAGCAGCCGCGGUAAUACGUAGGUGGCGAGCGUUAUCCGGAUUUACUGGGUGUAAAGGGUGUGUAGGCGGGAAGGCAAGUCAGAUGUGAAAAUUACGGGCUUAACUCGUAACCUGCAUUUGAAACUGUCUUUCUUGAGAGUCGGAGAGGUAAGUGGAAUUCCCAGUGUAGCGGUGAAAUGCGUAGAUAUUGGGAGGAACACCAGUGGCGAAGGCGACUUACUGGACGACAACUGACGCUGAGACACGAAAGCGUGGGGAGCAAACAGG